GCCGCGUGGGUCGAGGACGGCGCCGGACGCAUGGAGGGCCUCGGAUCUGCUCGCUAGGAGUGUCACCUCCCUGCCGCAGGCCGUCAUGGCGGCUCGCCUGGUGAAGCGGUGCACGUGCCUGCUGAGAGAGGCCGCUCGUCUGGCCCCUGCUGGGCCUCCGGUUGGCCAGCUGAGACUGGCCAGGGUGGCCCGUAAGACUCUGACUUCCUCAGCUACCUCACCGAGUUCCCACUCAGGUUCCUUGUCACAGCACGUGGAGAAGGAACAGGUGUUCACCCCUUACCCAGAGCGCCAGGAGGUGGACGAGCUCAUCGAGAAGGCCACUCAGCCAGAGGAGCUCCUGGAGCUGCUGGACGGCGGCCACUGCCUGCACCAGAACCACGCGGCCCUCGUGCUCAUCCAGCUCUCGCGCCUGCUGUCGGACAGGCCGGAGGACAGAGCCUCGCUCCUGCAGGAUGCCCGCUUUCAGAAGCUGCUUCGUCUUGUCAGCAGUCAGGUAUCCGUGGUCUGGCACGGGACCCUUGUGAAGCUACUCCGGGGCCUCUACUCACUGGCGCUCCCCGAAGCCUCCAAGGAGCUGCGGUCGGUGGAGCAGGAGGUGCGCUGGCGCAUGCGCAGGCUCAGGUACAAGCACCUGGCCUUCCUGGCCGAGUCCAGCACCACCUACAUGCAGGAGCGGGGCUCCCAGGAGCUGCUGGCCGAGCUGCUCGUCAGCCUGGAGCGGCGCUGGGCAGAGAUUGAGGACAGCCGCACGCUGGUGGCCAUCAUGACGAAGCUGGGGCCCCUCUCGGAGUCGCUGAUGAACCGCCUAGAGGACAAGUGCCUGGAGCUGGUGGAGCAGUUUGGCCCCGAGGAGCUGCGGAAGGUGCUGGUGGCGCUGGCAGCUCAGAACCGGCGGUCGGUGCCCUUGCUGCGGGCCGUCUCCUACCACCUGGUCCAGAAGCCCUUCACCCUGACCAAAGGCGUCCUCCUGGACCUGGCCUAUGCCUACGGCAAACUCGGCUUCCACCAGACCCAGGUGUUCCAGCGCCUGGCCGCUGACCUGCUGCCCCACAUGCCCAGCCUCACGUCCAGCGAGGUGGCCCGCUGCGCCAAGUCCUUCGCCUUUCUCAAGUGGCUCAACCUGCCCCUGUUUGAGGCCUUUGCCCAGCACGUGCUGAGCAGGGCCCAGAGCAUCCCGCUGCCCCACCUCUGCAACGUGCUUCUGGCCUUCGCCCGCCUGAACUUCCGACCGGAGCAGGAGGACUCGUUCUUCAGCCUGGUGCACGAGAAGCUGGGGGGCCAGCUGGCGGGCCUGGACCCGGCGCUGCAGGUGGACGUGCUGUGGGCCCUGUGUGUGCUGCAGCAGGCCAGAGACGCCGAGCUCCGGGCUGUGCUCCGCCCUGAGUUCCACACCCAGUUCCUAGACGACAGGUCCCCAAAGGGUCAGAGCACCUUCCAGAAGCUGCUCCAUGUCAACGCCACUGCCCAGCUGGAGCACCCCAAGUACACGGGCCCCCUGUUGCCAGCCUCAGCCUCGGUCCCCAGGCCCUCAGCCCUUGACAGGAAGGCGACACCUCUGCAGAAGGAGCUGCAGGAGACCCUGAAGGGACAGCUGGGCAGUGCCGACAAGGGCCGCUUCUCGGUGGCCACACAGUACGGCUGGGUUCUGGAUGCUGAGGUGCUGCUGGACGCCGAAGGCCAGUUCCUGCCCCUGAAGGACUUUGUGGCCCCUCAUUUGGCCCCGCCCUCUGGGGGCCAGCCACUGCCCCCCAAGGCCAAGAGGCUUGCCUUCCUGCGCUGGGAGUUCCCCAACUUCAACAGCCGGAGCAAGGACCUGCUGGGGCGCUUCGUGCUGGCCCGGCGCCACCUGCUGGCCGCUGGCUUCCUGCUGGUGGAUGUCCCGUACUACGAGUGGCUGGAGCUCAAGUCUGAGUGGCAGAAAGGCGCCUACCUCAAGGACAAGGUACGGAAAGUGGUGGCCGAGGAGCUGGCCAAGUGAUCGCCCCAUCGCGUGGACUGUGCCGGGGACCGGACUCCCUGAGGCCUCGCCAUGGACCUGGGCUGGCAGGAGGUGCCACCCUCAAGGACGGCGUGACUGGUGACACCUUGUUACCUGUGUGCACUUACCCUCCGGCUGCACCGCCUUCACAGAGGUUCCUGUCUGAGCCUCACUCCGAGUUUCAGGGGCUCUGC